UACGUAGGGGGCUAGCGUUGUCCGGAUUUAUUGGGCGUAAAGAGCGUGUAGGCGGCCAAGCAGGUCAGCUGUGAAAACUCGAGGCUCAACCUCGAGACGUCGGUUGAAACCGCUUGGCUAGAGUCCGGAAGAGGAGAGUGGAAUUCCGGGUGUAGUGGUGAAAUGCGUAGAGAUCCGGAGGAACACCAGUGGCGAAGGCGACACGCUGGGCCGUACCUGACACUGAUGCGCGACAGCAUGGGGAGCAAACAGG
rnacentral:rRNA from 1 species